rnacentral:lncRNA from 1 species
AUGCUUCCAAGUUUUAAAAAAAAAUCCAGAUUUCACAAAAUCAUGAAGAGCAGUUGAGCCCCUAAUGUCACCGCAGCUUCGACUCUCGACAAUGGUGCGCUUAGAACGUUUUUUCCUCAACUUCGAGUUUGCAGCAUCAGGUAUUAAACAGAUUCAAUUUGUGAAGGAUUUACCAUUUCAAACACGAACAAUGAACACCCAAGACCGC